AAUAAAUUAAUCAAUCAAUUUAAUUUUGAUAAAUCCCAAGUAUUAGCGUUUUCAAGGAAAAAAAAAAAAAAAAGGGAAAUUCUCAAUUUCUUGAAAACUUUCUCUUGACUUUCACCCGUCUCUCUCAAAUCAAUUCCUCGAGAAUUGUUAAAAUUUCAAAGGUUUAUCAAUUGGAACUCUUUCACAUUGAUUUUAAGGAAGGAUAGUUAAUUUAGAUAUGUCUGGGAGGAAUCGAGGGCCUCCGACUCUUCCAAUGAAAGGGCCUCCUCAUGGCGGACUACUGCCUCCGGUACAUGAACCCCCAUUUGCUAGAGGUCUAGGACCAAUGCCGCCUCACCCUGCUUUAUUUGAGGAAAUAAGAGAAACCCAAUUCGGGUUGGGUCCUAGAGGCCUCCCUCCUCACCCUGCAAUCUUUGAAGAGCGUCUUGCAGCUCAACUCCAAGAAAUUCAAGGCCUUCUUGCAGAUAAUCAGAGGCUGGCAGCAACUCAUGUUGCAUUAAAGCAGGAACUGGAGGCUGCCCAGCAUGAGUUGCAGCGGAUGGCUCAUUAUGUGGAUUCGUUGAGGGUGGAGAAGGAUGUUCAGAUGAGGGAGAUGUAUGAGAAGUCGGUUCAAUUGGAGGUUGAUCUUCGUGGGGCGGAGGCUAUGCGAGCCGAGCUUGUUAAGGUUAAUGCUGAUAUUAAGCAGCUUAAUGCUGUGAGGCAGGAUCUUACGGGUCAGGUUCAGGUUAUGAGUCAAGAUUUGGCUAGAUUUAUGACCGAAUUACAACAGGCACCUGCUUUGAAGGCAGAGAUUGAAAAUGUGAAACAGGAACUCCAACGUGCAAGAGCUGCCAUCGAGUAUGAGAAGAAAGGAUAUGCAGAGAAUUAUGAACAUGGCCAGGUGAUGGAGAAAAAAUUGAUCUCAAUGGCUCGGGAGUUGGAAAAGCUUCGUGCAGAGAUUGCUAAUGCAGAGAAGAGAACUCGUGCCGCUGGUGGUAGUAAUCCUGCAGUUGCUGGUUAUAAUGCAAAUUAUGGAAAUCCUGAAGCUGGAUAUACUGGAAAUACUUAUCCUGUCAACUAUGGCAUGAAUCCUGUUCAAGGUGGUGUGGAUGGUUACCCUCAGUAUGGUCCUGCUGCAGGUUCCUGGGGUGCAUAUGACAUGCAGAGAGCUCAAGGACAUCGCUAGAGUGAUUUUUCAAAUCAUGCUAAUAUGAUGAUUUCUGGUACUUCUGGGCAACUUAUCAGUUCUCUAGGUUUACAAACUUGCAUCCUGCAAAUUUUCUGGUUCAGUGAUUAUCCAAUGAUGUCUGAGUUACAUGAGCACAUCUCAUAAAAUUACCUAAACUGUGAUUAAGUACCUCAGUUUGAGGAUGAAAAGCAUAUAUGAGCCUAACUAUUCCUUUACACCUUGUACUUUCUAAUCUUCAACAGGUAAUUUGUGAUUUCUUUUACAUUUUUCGGUUAAUUAGAUGAUCUUUUUUCCCAUUUCACAUGAAGUAGGAGGAAAAUGUCCAUCAAAAGACAUUUUAUAAAAAUUUGGUUCCAGCUCUUUCAUAAAUAUAGCUUACCCCAUUUUUGAAGCCUUUGCUUUUCUCUCUAAAACACUUUAUAUCUGAGACAAUAAUACGUGAUUUUUACCAAAAGGGUUAGGGAUUCUUGAUCAUACUUGAGCCUAAGGAGGUAAUAAAAUCAUCAAGUUUUCGUCAUGUAAACAAAGAUUUCAAUUUCCAAUAGAGAUUUACUCCUUAAUAAUGUUGGCUGUUGGUGCUGAGAAAAAGGUUUUUUUUCCUUGUAUUCCAAACGGAUUCAAGGCAACCUUUACAAAUUCUACAUAUAUGGCAACUCAUAAAGGGCUUAGAUCUGGGAAAUAAGGGAUAUUAGGAUUUGAAUAUGUUACAUAAAUUGGCUUUAUGGCUUUCAGAUGAAAAUAGGUUUAUAUUUUGGAGGAGAUAAUGAAAGAUUGAUAAAUGAAGAUAAAAGUCUCUGUAGGCUGAGGAAUUGAUGUAUUACAGUUCUACCCUUAGAUCACAAAAGCAAUGUUAACUCAUAUAACAAAACCCUGAACUGCUAAAAUUGAAGUUAUAGCCAUAAAGGAAAAGAGACCAGGGCUGUGUAUCACACAGCAUAGUUCAAAGGUCAUUUGAGACUUGAUUUAACUAUACAUGUUUUCUUGCCAGAGUGCCUUUGAAAUUUAAACAAUGGGCACAUAUUUCUCUGCAGUUACACUCUAAAGCCAGCUCAAAAGUAUUAACUCAGUAUGAUGUUGCACAAUCAAAAUCAAUGCAUGAUUCCUCUUCUUUUUUUUUUUUUUAUGCUUUAUGUUGAUUACUAUAUUGAUGAAUUGAAAUUUCAAUUUUCUGUUGGUAAUGUCUUCAAUACAUGGUGCUACCUCAACUUUCACAUCUUUUAUGCCUCUUGAGCACUAGAUAUUAUUGAAGUCCUCUCGCCUGGGUUUGAAGACAAUUAAGGAAAUAUAAGGAUUUCCCCAAUUUUGCUUUUGGAGCUAAUGUCUUGUCAAGAUCUUCUGCACAUUUCCUGCUUUCGGUGGCAGUGAGCCAGUGACUGCUAUUGGUUUGGCACUAUGUCUUGUAUCGCCGCCGGUUAUGUUGGGAAAUUUCACUAGGCUUCCUGGGGCGACAGAGAAUACCAGAAGAUUUAUGUUGGGAAAUUUCACUAGGCUUCUUGGGGCAACCGAAAUACGAGAAGAUUUAUGUGAUUUUGGUUUAAUUCUACCAAAUUGCCUAAUACCAGGGCCAUUUCAAGCUCAUUGUAUGAUCUUUUUCUCAGCACUAAGACAAGAUGAGGUGGUAGAUGAAGAGAGAGUUUCUUUAGCUAGCAAGCUUUGAUCUGCUUUGGCAAUUAUAACUAGAGAUGUUCAAUGAUUUGAUUUUAUGAUGUUUUCUGCAUCAAAAUGAUGGAUGGGCAUAUAAUGUUAAAGGCUUGGAUAAGAUUUUGUUGAUCAGAAGAUCUACCAGUGUUGUUUCGGAUGAUUGGCGUCUAGUUUUUAAGUCCUCCUGUAGGGUACAGUGUGCUCAAGUACUAGACAUGUUUCAAAUGUGGCAUGGGGUGCACCAUGGUAAGUGGAUAAAAGAUGAAAGUUGUUGAUCUCAUCCGCCACCUGCCAUAAAUAUUCACUAUAAUCUCAAAGCUUUAUGGCACAAACUCCCCUUGAGGUUAUAUGGAUGUUGCAUUGACCAUCUUAUACGCUGAAACUGUGUCAAGGAAGUAUCAAGUGUUUGCUGUACAUGGAUCAAGAUUGUGUUAUAGACCCUCUGUUUUUUGAACAAGAUAUUACCUGUCAUCACAUUAUCAUUAUUAAUGCCCCCAACCCUUGUCCCUUACAAAAAGUUCUAACUUGAGUUAACCUUU